rnacentral:rRNA from 1 species
UACGAAGGGUGCAAGCGUUACUCGGAAUUACUGGGCGUAAAGCGUGCGUAGGUGGUUUGUUAAGUCUGUCGUGAAAGCCCCGGGCUCAACCUGGGAAUUGCGAUGGAUACUGGCUAACUAGAGUGUGGCAGAGGGUAGUGGAAUUCCUGGUGUAGCAGUGAAAUGCGUAGAGAUCAGGAGGAACAUCCGUGGCGAAGGCGACUGCCUGGGCCAACACUGACACUGAGGCACGAAAGCGUGGGGAGCAAACAGG